AUUGAACGCUGGCGGCAGGCCUAACACAUGCAAGUCGAACGAGUGGCGGACGGGUGAGUAAUGUCUGUGAAACUGCCUGAUGGAUGGGGAUAACUAUUGGAAACGGUAGCUAAUCCCGAAUACCAUCGGAUGUGCCCCGAUGGGAUUAGCUAGUUGGUGGGGUUACGGCUCACCUAGGCGACGAUCCCUAGCGGGUGUGAGAGGAUGACGAGCGACACUGGAACUGAGACGAGGGCCAGACUCCUAAGGGAGGUAGCAGAGGGGAAUAUUGCACAUUGUGCGCAAGCCUGAUGCAGCCAAGCCGCGUGUAUGAAGAAGGCCUUCGAGUUGUAAAGCACGUUCAGCGGGGAGGCGGUACCCGCAGAAGAAGCACCGGCUAACUCCGUGCCAGCAGCCGCGGUAAUUC
rnacentral:rRNA from 1 species